CAGCAGCAGCCGCGGGAAUACGUAGGGUGCGAGCGUUAAUCGGAAUUACUGGGCGUAAAGCGUGCGUAGGCGGUGAGUUAAGUCUGUUGUGAAAUCCCCGGGCUCAACCUGGGAAUGGCAAUGGAUACUGGCAAGCUAGAGUGUGUCAGAGGAUGGUGGAAUUCCCGGUGUAGCGGUGAAAUGCGUAGAGAUCGGGAGGAACAUCAGUGGCGAAGGCGGCCAUCUGGGACAACACUGACGCUGAGGCACGAAAGCGUGGGGAGCAAACAGGAUUAGAUACCCCCGUAGUCCCUGUCUCUUAUAC
rnacentral:rRNA from 1 species